ensembl:Mt_tRNA
GCCAAUGUAGCUUAACUAAAGCAUAACACUGAAGAUGUUAAGAUGGGCCCUAGAAAGCCCCAUGAGCA